GUGCUCACUUUGGCAGCACACGUACUAAAAUUGGAACUAUACAGAGAAGAUUAACACGGCCCCUGCACAAGGAUGACACGCAAAUUCACGAAGCGUUCCAUAUUUUU
rnacentral:snRNA from 1 species